rnacentral:rRNA from 1 species
UACGGAGGGGACUAGCGUUGUUCGGAAUUACUGGGCGUAAAGCGCACGUAGGCGGAUCUGUAAGUCAGGGGUGAAAUCCCGGGGCUCAACCUCGGAACUGCCUUUGAUACUGCAAAUCUCGAGUCCGGAAGAGGUGAGUGGAAUUCCUAGUGUAGAGGUGAAAUUCGUAGAUAUUAGGAAGAACACCAGUGGCGAAGGCGGCUCACUGGUCCGGUACUGACGCUGAGGUGCGAAGCGAGGGGAG